rnacentral:rRNA from 1 species
GAACGGUAACAGGAAGCAGCUUGCUGCUUUGCUGACGAGUGGCGGACGGGUGAGUAAUGUCUGGGAAACUGCCUGAUGGAGGGGGAUAACUACUGGAAACGGUAGCUAAUACCGCAUAACGUCGCAAGACCAAAGAGGGGGACCUUCGGGCCUCUUGCCAUCGGAUGUGCCCAGAUGGGAUUAGCUAGUAGGUGGGGUAACGGCUCACCUAGGCGACGAUCCCUAGCUGGUCUGAGAGGAUGACCAGCCACACUGGAACUGAGACACGGUCCAGACCCCUACGGGAGGCAGCAGUGGGGAAUAUUGCACAAUGGGCGCAAGCCUGAUGCAGCCAUGCCGCGUGUAUGAAGAAGGCCUUCGGGUUGUAAAGUACUUUCAGCGGGGAGGAAGGUGUUGAGGUUAAUAACCUCAGCAAUUGACGUUACCCGCAGAAGAAGCACCGGCUAACUCCGUGCCAGCGGCCGCGGUAAUACGGAGGGUGCAAGCGUUAAUCGGAAUUACUGGGCGUAAAGCGCACGCAGGCGGUCUGUCAAGUCGGAUGUGAAAUCCCCGGGCUCAACCUGGGAACUGCAUUCGAAACUGGCAGGCUAGAGUCUUGUAGAGGGGGGUAGAAUUCCAGGUGUAGCGGUGAAAUGCGUAGAGAUCUGGAGGAAUACCGGUGGCGAAGGCG